rnacentral:lncRNA from 1 species
CAACGCUUUUACAACCCUAUAAAGUUACAAAAAGAAGCAUUCAAUACUUAUAAUUACAUUUUUUAGCUAUGAUCAUGAAAACACGAAUUUUAUAUAUUUUUUAUUUAAUUCACCUGUGCACUUUAUUGUUGGACCACAUGUUAUCAUGAAUGAAAAGUUGUAUUGAGCAAUGCAACUGCUUUCGGAAUAACACGUGAUGUGCAGUUAGCCA